UACGGAGGAUGCGAGCGUUAUCCGGAUUUAUUGGGUUUAAAGGGUGCGUAGGCGGAUCGUUAAGUCAGUGGUCAAAUUGAGGGGCUCAACCCCUUCCCGCCAUUGAAACUGGCGAUCUUGAGUGGAAGAGAAGUAUGCGGAAUGCGUGGUGUAGCGGUGAAAUGCAUAGAUAUCGCGCAGAACCCCGAUUGCGAAGGCAGCAUGCCGGCUUCCUACUGACGCUGAAGCACGAAAGCGUGGGGAUCGAACAGG
rnacentral:rRNA from 1 species